rnacentral:miRNA from 1 species
GCAAAGCCAACUUGGUCCAAGUUUCUGCAACCAUUCGCAAGUUAGAACGUCUUUUAAGACCGUUCUAACUUGCGAAUGGUUGCAGAAACUUGGACCAAGAAU